GUCCCCACAUGCAGGCCACUGCCAGGUGGCUCCCCCCGGGGCUCCUCCCUGUCACAGCAUCAGAAAGCUCUGCCACGGGACCCAGGCCUGGGUGGGCAGGGGCAGUGGGGUCCCAGCCUCUUUUGCCUGAGCUCACUGACCCCGAGGGAAGGACACAUUCAGGGUGCAGGCAAUGUGGGCACCCUGCGCUGCGGCACCCUUGCCCAAGGGAGUCCACCUGGUGCACUACUGUGGAUGUCCAGCAGAUGGCGUGGCCUGGGCAGGUUGCGGCAGGAGGUCUGGCGGACCCACCUUGGUGCAGGUGAGGAAACUGAGGCUGGUUCCCCUUCCCCUUGCACACAGGGGAAUUCAUUCCAGGUCCCAUGUCUGGGGGCCCUUGCUCUGUGCUGGGGGCUGGGAACCAAGUGAGCCAACCUGAUGGACUCUCCGAAGCUCGUUCAUCUCGAGGGAAGAGGAACACGCUCCACAGGGAUCACCUGACCCUGAAACACUGCUGCUCACCCCACACCCCACACAGUCUGCCGUAGGACCCUUGCUUGGCCACCUGUGUCCCCUGAGGCUGCGCCCUUACCUCCAUGUGCCUCUUGAUCCUCCCAUACCACAACCCUCUUGAGAGUCCAGCCUCUUCCAGCUGAGUGGGCAAGGUCCUUCUGCGUGGACAGAGUGUGGGGCGUGGGGUCUGCACAGCCCGUCCACAGCUCCACCCUGCUGCAGCCGUGUGGCCCUGGGCGAGGGCCUCUUCUCCUGAUUGUCACAGUUCAGCAGAACGUAGGUGUCCAGACUCUCUACAGGGGUCCUGGGUCCCCUCACUCAGGGCCUCGAUGGGUCUAUCCCUGGUUUUCUUUUUCUUUUUUGAGGGUGACAGUGUUUAAGUUGCAUUCCCCCAAAAUAUGUUCAGGGCAAACCCCAGAACCCACGUGACCUUAUUAGGGAGUAGGGUCCCUGCAGAAGGGCCAGUGGCGAGGGGGUCACACUGCAGCAGGGUGGCUCUGCCCUGACCCCACCGCCGGUGUCCUUACAAGAGGAGUGAGACAUGGAGACACAGAAGGCCACCUGAAGAGAGACCAAGGGUUAGAGUGAAGUGACCACAAUCCGAGGGACACGCAGAGCCCCAGGAGCUGGGGGAGGCAGGAAGGGAGCCCAGAACCUGGGCGGGAGCAGGGCGCCAUGGCACCUUGACCCUGGACUCGUCUCCACACGGUAAACACCCAUCUCCGGCUCUGAAGCCUCCCAGCUCUGGUCCCUUGUCACAGCCAGGAACUGAGGGCCGGCUCCCCGGCUCCCAUCUCCUCUGAGGCCCAGCCGGGGAGGUGUGUUGGCCUGGGCCAGGUGGGCGCCUCUGGGCUGGGGAACAGGUGCUACCUGCAGACCUCCGCGUGGGCGCUUGGUGCACGCAGCGCGCCUGUCCUCCUGGCCUGGCCACGAGGGCUCUGUGAUGCGCCUGCGUGGUGCUCCAGGUGAGACUGGCGUUGAAGCAGUGGCCAGUGCUGGAAUCCCAUCGUGGCCCCUCACAAGUGCUCAGCUGACUUCACCUCUGGGCCCCGGUUUCCUGCUCUGUGCUCGGGGCUGGGGAGACCCACCUGGCUCCCAGGGCAUCUGUGAGGACGAAGCCAGACCCUGCUGUCCAGCGCACGGCAGACCUGGUCAGAGGCCCCCCCAGGCCUUUUCCCUGGCUGCUCCUUGCCAGAGCACCCUCGCUGCCUGUCCAGGAGGUGGGUAUGGCAGGGCAGGGAGGCCAUGGGCAGAGGUCCUCCCCGUGCAGACUGCCCAGCCCUAGGUCUCUGGCCACAGCUGUGAUUAUCCACAGCUGAUGGCCAGCAUUCCCCCAUCCUGCCAGGACUUUCAGGAAAACAGCUGGACGGCUGGUGAUUCCCGGGCCCUGCCCUGCAUGGCCGUCCUGGCCAGCUGGACCCUGGGCUCUGCAGGCUCAGAGGAAGCCCAGCUGCUCUCCAGCUUCAGGACAGCCCAGCUGUGGGCCACGGCCUCAGUGACCCUGCAGACCCCUCCCAGCUCAGCUCUGGCCUGCUUCCCUUCCAGAGGGGGCAGAAAGCAGAGCCCCAGCCCACUGGCCCGGGGGUCGGGCAGAGCCAUGGCCUCCCACAGGCGGGACAUUCUGGAAGCCGUGUGGCCUGAAGAGUCCCUGCCAGCGCCUCCUGCCUGGCCAGGCGUGGGGUCACAGGCGGCGACCUCAGACACAGCAGAACUCCACCCCGUCUUCACCAACCCUGGGGCUGCCGUUAGGGUGAGGAGGCGCAGGUCUCAGGGACUGGCCAGGCUGUGGCGCUGCGGCUCACAGACCGAGAUGGGGCUGUGUUGGCCAGUCGGGCAGGGAGCUCCCUAGAACCAUCCGACCCCAUCCCGCCAGGCAGGUGCUGGCACCCUGCUUUGCAGAGGCGUCCUUGGCUGCUCGAGGUGCCGCGGCUUGCUGAUGCAGACGUCGGGUCACUCGGUCUUGGUGCAGACUGCUCCCCCUUAGGCAGCGGCCCUACUCACAUUUUGUCUGUGCACCGAAAACAUUGUUCUGAGAAAGGAUGCGCUUCACCAGAAUGCCAAGGGGCCUGGCACAGAAAGGCUGGGGCCCUGCUUCACAGGGCGCCAGAAAACAGCAGCCGUGGUGAGCAGACCAGAGGCUGCCCCAGCUCCCUCGGAUACCCAGGCUGCACGGCACCCAAGUGAGCUCUGCCGGGCAGAACCUGACUCCCGGACGGGGCCCAGGAAACGCGUUCUCACAACUGGCCCCACCCCACUGCCUUGGUCAGCACCGUCAAGGUUGUUGGAUUGAGUGUCCUGCCAACGCCGCCUCAAGACAAGCCCCCAGGCCCCACUUCUGGUUCUGAAAGCACGUCCACUCCCCGCAACCAAAAUGACAACCCAAAGUAGCAGCCGUCAUUACCAAGUGUCCCCUGGGAAGGCCUGCCCUGGUUGGACAUCUAAGCAAGCCCCAAGUGGGGAGCCCAGGCGACAGUGACACAAAAGGCCCGCCCUCUCCUCUUCUACGGGGUGGACGCAGCAACAUUCUGGCCUAAAUCGAGGAUUAAGAGAGAAGGAUCUGUUAAUUGUGUAUUUACCAAGAAAAGCGAUUCCUCAGCCCACACGUUCAUGUUUCAUCGUCCGGAGCACAAGUCAGCGCAGACUCUAAGGCCCCGAUCCAGGAACACUUCAUUGGAUCACGUUCACCCUGAACGUCACCAGCCUCCUCAGGUCCUCAGACUCUCCCUGGGAUCCUGAUUCCUACAGGAAUCUGCAUUCGCCUCUCUCUGGCCUCAGCCACACGAACAGCAGCGACCCCAGCAGCCCCGAACGCUGAACCGGGACCCUUGGCCGGAAGACCCCGACCUGAGGUUUCCUCCAAGUGCUGGAAGCCGUGGCAGUUUUGUCCCCCACACCCACGCCCUUCCUGGGAGACGAGAAGAAAUCUCUACCUUCCAUUUCUGUG